UGGGGAAUUUUGGACAAUGGGCGAAAGCCUGAUCCAGCAAUGCCGCGUGUGUGAAGAAGGCCUUCGGGUUGUAAAGCACUUUUGUCCGGAAAGAAAUCCUUGGCUCUAAUACAGUCGGGGGAUGACGGUACCGGAAGAAUAAGCACCGGCUAACUACGUGCCAGCAGCCGCGGUAAUACGUAGGGUGCAAGCGUUAAUCGGAAUUACUGGGCGUAAAGCGUGCGCAGGCGGUUUGCUAAGACCGAUGUGAAAUCCCCGGGCUCAACCUGGGAACUGCAUUGGUGACUGGCAGGCUAGAGUAUGGCAGGAGGGGGGUAGAAUUCCACGUGUAGCAGUGAAAUGCGUAGAGAUGUGGAGGAAUACCGAUGGCGAAGGCAGCCCCCUGGGCCAAUACUGACGCUCAUGCACGAAAAGCGUGGGGGAGCAAAACAGGAUUAGAUACCCCUGGUAGUCCACGCCCUAAACGAUGUCAACUAGUUGUUGGGGGAUUCAUUUCCUUAGUAACGUAGCUAACGCGUGAAGUUGACCGCCUGGGGAGUACGGGUCG
rnacentral:rRNA from 1 species